GCCCGGCUAGCUCAAUCGGUAGAGCGUAAGACUCUUAUUCCUUCCUGGAAGAGCAAGAUCUUAAGGCUGCGGGUUCAAGCCCCGCGUUGGGCU